rnacentral:rRNA from 1 species
CCCUUAGAUGUUCGGGGCCGCACGCGCGCUACACUGAAGGAAUCAGCACGUCUUUCUCCUUGUCCGAAAGGACUGGGUGACCCGCUGAACCUCCUUCGUGCUAGGGAUUGGGGCUUGUAAUUCUUCCCCAUGAACGAGGAAUUCCCAGUAAGCGCGAGUCAUAAGCUCGCGUUGAUUACGUCCCUGCCCUUUGUACACACCGCCCGUCGCUACUACCGAUUGGAUGGUUUAGUGAGAUCCUCGGAUUGGUCCCGGCGCGGCCUCUGGUCGUGCCGGAGUGCCGAAAAGAAUGUCGAACUUGAUCAUCUAGAGGAAGUAAAAGUCGUAACA